rnacentral:rRNA from 1 species
UGGGGAAUAUUGCACAAUGGGCGCAAGCCUGAUGCAGCCAUGCCGCGUGUAUGAAGAAGGCCUUCGGGUUGUAAAGUACUUUCAGCGGGGAGGAAGGCGAUAAGGUUAAUAACCUUGUCGAUUGACGUUACCCGCAGAAGAAGCACCGGCUAACUCCGUGCCAGCAGCCGCGGUAAUACGGAGGGAGCAAGCGUUAAUCGGGAUUACUGGGCGUAAAGCGCACGCAGGUGGUCUGUCAAGUCGGAUGUGAAAUCCCCGGGCUCAACCUGGGAACUGCAUUCGAAACUGGCAGGCUAGAGUCUUGUAGAGGGGGGUAGAAUUCCAGGUGUAGCGGUGAAAUGCGUAGAGAUCUGGAGGAAUACCGGUGGCGAAGGCGGCCCCCUGGACAAAGACUAACGCUCAGGUGCGAAAGCGUGGGGAGCAAACA